GAUUUAUUUUGCAGGAAAACACGUGGAAAUGGGAUUCAGGCUUUGCCCGACUCAUAUUGCACAUGCAGGCAGAGGUUGUGUAUUGGAGUUUAUAAUUUCAGGUGCAGGGAUGUCAGUUUGUUCGGGGCGAGGAUAUAAGACUGAUUCCACCAGUUGUGUCUGUCUCCACCUUCACACACCACUGAAUUCCUUCGACACUUUGAACAGUCUCCUGAGUAGCAGAGGAUGGUACUUUCUACGACAAGAGGAAGUUUACUACAGAUGAUGUUGAUGUCUCAAGUGGAAACAUCUCGGGGCUGAAGUGGGCACUGCGACACUGCCGGAACUGGGCUCUGCUGACAUGGGUUGGGUCGGCCAGUCGAGUGACUCGCCAGUCUGGAUGAAAAAUUCGCAUGGCAUCUUGGAAUUCCUGGGCUGACCGGGCAUCACCGUCUGUUGUGGUGUGCUUCACCUUGAACCCGUCCGCUGCCAGAUCUUCGCCUAUGGAUUUAGCCAUCUCGUACUCUGAAAGAGGGCUAGAGUGGCUGUGUUGACCUGGUUGCUGGCCCUUUGCAUGGAGCUGCGGUUAGGAGGUGGAAUGUCCAAGGCAGCUACCAUUUCCCGACUGCGUCGAUUCCCCAUGGAGGUGUUCUGCAGAGCUAACUGAAAGUUCCAGUUGAUACUGGCAGGAUUAGGGCCUGGUUUGUUAAAGCUCCUGGCAUGGCUCAGGUCUGGGACGAAGGAUCGGUGUCCUUGAGAGGCUUUUCUGGCCUUCAGCAAGGGGAUGUGCUGUCUCAGUCUCUGGGGAUCCCUGGAUGU